UAGAAGGCAGGCGUUGGCUCGCUCUAUUGAACUUCAGAGACGUGAGGCACUUAAGCAUCAUAUUUCAGACUUGCAGGAGCGGAUUGAGCUACUAAAUUACGAACUUGAAGAUAUGAGAGUAAACAACCAAAUUGAUGAAGAAAAACUUUCUAGAUCAUUUAAUGCCGGAUCGACAAUAGAUGACACAUCUGAGGAUGAAGGAGAGGAGGCAUAUCUUAAAGUUUAUGACAGUGGUGUGGAGGACACUUGAAGGAAUUAAGAAGCUUGUU